rnacentral:rRNA from 1 species
GGACUCGCACAAGCGGUGGUUUAUGAGGUUUAAUUCGAUAGCAAACGAGGCACCUCACCAGGGCUUGACAUGCAGUCCUUAUGCUUUUUUUGAAAAGAAAAAGUUUUUACCGUAAGGUAAACGGACUGCACAGGUGCUGCAUGGUUGUCGUCAGCUCGUGCCGUGAGGCGUUCCCUUCAGUGGGGAAACGAGCGCAACCCUUGUUGUUUGUUUUUGUGUCAAACAAGACUACCCAGCUUUAAGCCUACAAAUCCAUUUUGCAGGUUUAAAGCUGGGUGGAAGUGGGGAUGACGCCAAAUCAGCAUGGCCCUUUGAUGCCCUGGGCGACACUCAUGAAACAAUGGUAUAUACAGCGGGUUGCUAAGCCGCGAGGCGGAGCUAAUCCCUUAAAGUAUACCUCAGUUCGGAUUGGAGUCUGAAACCCGACUCCAUGAAGCUGGAAUCGCUAGUAAACGCGUAUCAGCCAUGGCGCGUUGAAUACGUUCUCGAGUCCU